UCUCGAUCAUCCAGCCGCUUUAUUUUUCAAAGUAGAGCGUCUGGAUGACAAGUGAUAUAAAAAUGGUAAUUUAUGACAUUCGGAAUAGUAUCGGAUUUUUUAGCUUGUAUUUAAAGAUAAUGUCCAAGACGAAUAACCAAGAAGUUGGUUAUUGACUUCGGAAGAAAUUAUAUUACGAUAAUACUAUUGAAAAGCCCGAGUGUACCGAUUGUUGUUUAAAGCUAUUUAUAUUUUUCUGUGACGACAUACAAGUCGUGGAAAACACCAGACAGCAUGGCUUCCAUCACCGCAUAGGAAAAUAACAGCACAUCAAACUUUGACAAACCAAUGAAGAUUUCUGGACACAGAUAUUAUGUGUAAAAUGUGAAGAAUUAAAAAAAAUCUAUAAUA